rnacentral:rRNA from 1 species
GGGUUGUGAGGUUAAGCGACUAAGCGUACACGGUGGAUGCCCUGGCAGUCAGAGGCGAUGAAGGACGUGCUAAUCUGCGAUAAGCGUCGGUAAGGUGAUAUGAACCGUUAUAACCGGCGAUUUCCGAAUGGGGAAACCCAGUGUGAUUCGUCACACUAUCAUUAACUGAAUCCAUAGGUUAAUGAGGCGAACCGGGGGAACUGAAACAUCUAAGUACCCCGAGGAAAAGAAAUCAACCGAGAUUCCCCCAGUAGCGGCGAGCGAACGGGGAGGAGCCCAGAGCCUGAAUCAGUGUGUGUGUUAGUGGAAGCGUCUGGAAAGGCGCGCGAUACAGGGUGACAGCCCCGUACACAAAAAUGCACAUACUGUGAGCUCGAUGAGUAGGGCGGGACACGUGGUAUCCUGUCUGAAUAUGGGGGGACCAUCCUCCAAGGCUAAAUACUCCUGACUGACCGAUAGUGAACCAGUACCGUGAGGGAAAGGCGAAAAGAACCCCGGCGAGGGGAGUGAAAAAGAACCUGAAACCGUGUACGUACAAGCAGUGGGAGCCUCUUAAUGGGGUGACUGCGUACCUUUUGUAUAAUGGGUCAGCGACUUAUAUUCUGUAGCAAGGUUAACCGAAUAGGGGAGCCGAAGGGAAACCGAGUCUUAACUGGGCGUUAAGUUGCAGGGUAUAGACCCGAAACCCGGUGAUCUAGCCAUGGGCAGGUUGAAGGUUGGGUAACACUAACUGGAGGACCGAACCGACUAAUGUUGAAAAAUUAGCGGAUGACUUGUGGCUGGGGGUGAAAGGCCAAUCAAACCGGGAGAUAGCUGGUUCUCCCCGAAAGCUAUUUAGGUAGCGCCUCGUGAAUUCAUCUCCGGGGGUAGAGCACUGUUUCGGCAAGGGGGUCAUCCCGACUUACCAACCCGAUGCAAACUGCGAAUACCGGAGAAUGUUAUCACGGGAGACACACGGCGGGUGCUAACGUCCGUCGUGAAGAGGGAAACAACCCAGACCGCCAGCUAAGGUCCCAAAGUCAUGGUUAAGUGGGAAACGAUGUGGGAAGGCCCAGACAGCCAGGAUGUUGGCUUAGAAGCAGCCAUCAUUUAAAGAAAGCGUAAUAGCUCACUGGUCGAGUCGGCCUGCGCGGAAGAUGUAACGGGGCUAAACCAUGCACCGAAGCUGCGGCAGCGACACUAUGUGUUGUUGGGUAGGGGAGCGUUCUGUAAGCCUGUGAAGGUGUACUGUGAGGUAUGCUGGAGGUAUCAGAAGUGCGAAUGCUGACAUAAGUAACGAUAAAGCGGGUGAAAAGCCCGCUCGCCGGAAGACCAAGGGUUCCUGUCCAACGUUAAUCGGGGCAGGGUGAGUCGACCCCUAAGGCGAGGCCGAAAGGCGUAGUCGAUGGGAAACAGGUUAAUAUUCCUGUACUUGGUGUUACUGCGAAGGGGGGACGGAGAAGGCUAUGUUGGCCGGGCGACGGUUGUCCCGGUUUAAGCGUGUAGGCUGGUUUUCCAGGCAAAUCCGGAAAAUCAAGGCUGAGGCGUGAUGACGAGGCACUACGGUGCUGAAGCAACAAAUGCCCUGCUUCCAGGAAAAGCCUCUAAGCAUCAGGUAACAUCAAAUCGUACCCCAAACCGACACAGGUGGUCAGGUAGAGAAUACCAAGGCGCUUGAGAGAACUCGGGUGAAGGAACUAGGCAAAAUGGUGCCGUAACUUCGGGAGAAGGCACGCUGAUAUGUAGGUGAAGCGACUUGCUCGUGGAGCUGAAAUCAGUCGAAGAUACCAGCUGGCUGCAACUGUUUAUUAAAAACACAGCACUGUGCAAACACGAAAGUGGACGUAUACGGUGUGACGCCUGCCCGGUGCCGGAAGGUUAAUUGAUGGGGUUAGCGGUAACGCGAAGCUCUUGAUCGAAGCCCCGGUAAACGGCGGCCGUAACUAUAACGGUCCUAAGGUAGCGAAAUUCCUUGUCGGGUAAGUUCCGACCUGCACGAAUGGCGUAAUGAUGGCCAGGCUGUCUCCACCCGAGACUCAGUGAAAUUGAACUCGCUGUGAAGAUGCAGUGUACCCGCGGCAAGACGGAAAGACCCCGUGAACCUUUACUAUAGCUUGACACUGAACAUUGAGCCUUGAUGUGUAGGAUAGGUGGGAGGCUUUGAAGUGUGGACGCCAGUCUGCAUGGAGCCGGCCUUGAAAUACCACCCUUUAAUGUUUGAUGUUCUAACGUUGGCCCCUGAUCGGGGUUGCGGACAGUGUCUGGUGGGUAGUUUGACUGGGGCGGUCUCCUCCUAAAGAGUAACGGAGGAGCACGAAGGUUGGCUAAUCCUGGUCGGACAUCAGGAGGUUAGUGCAAUGGCAUAAGCCAGCUUGACUGCGAGCGUGACGGCGCGAGCAGGUGCGAAAGCAGGUCAUAGUGAUCCGGUGGUUCUGAAUGGAAGGGCCAUCGCUCAACGGAUAAAAGGUACUCCGGGGAUAACAGGCUGAUACCGCCCAAGAGUUCAUAUCGACGGCGGUGUUUGGCACCUCGAUGUCGGCUCAUCACAUCCUGGGGCUGAAGUAGGUCCCAAGGGUAUGGCUGUUCGCCAUUUAAAGUGGUACGCGAGCUGGGUUUAGAACGUCGUGAGACAGUUCGGUCCCUAUCUGCCGUGGGCGCUGGAGAACUGAGGGGGGCUGCUCCUAGUACGAGAGGACCGGAGUGGACGCAUCACUGGUGUUCGGGUUGUCAUGCCAAUGGCACUGCCCGGUAGCUAAAUGCGGAAGAGAUAAGUGCUGAAAGCAUCUAAGCACGAAACUUGCCCCGAGAUGAGUUCUCCCUGACUCCUUGAGAGUCCUGAAGGAACGUUGAAGACGACGACGUUGAUAGGCCGGGUGUGUAAGCGCAGCGAUGCGUUGAGCUAACCGGUACUAAUGAACCGUGAGGCUUAACCUUACAACGCCGAAGGUGUUU